GUGGUAAUGCCGGAUGCUCCAGUUGAUCGCAUGGUCUUCUGGGAAAGCCUUUGCGGCAUGGGAUGGGGUCGCGUCCUAUCAGCUUGAUGGCGGGGUAACGGCCCACCAUGGCUUCGACGGGUAGCCGGCCUGAGAGGGCGACCGGCCACAUUGGGACUGAGAUACGGCCCAGACUCCUACGGGAGGCAGCAGUGGGGAAUAUUGCACAAUGGGCGCAAGCCUGAUGCAGCGACGCCGCGUGAGGGAUGGAGGCCUUCGGGUUGUAAACCUCUUUUGUUAGGGAGCAAGGCAUUUUGUGUUGAGUGUACCUUUCGAAUAAGCACCGGCUAACUACGUGCCAGCAGCCGCGGUAAUACGUAGGGUGCAAGCGUUAUCCGGAAUUAUUGGGCGUAAAGGGCUCGUAGGCGGUUCGUCGCGUCCGGUGUGAAAGUCCAUCGCUUAACGGUGGAUCCGCGCCGGGUACGGGCGGGCUUGAGUGCGGUAGGGGAGACUGGAAUUCCCGGUGUAACGGUGGAAUGUGUAGAUA
rnacentral:rRNA from 1 species